UGGCUCAGAACGAACGCUGGCGGCAGGCCUAACACAUGCAAGUCGAGCGCCCCGCAAGGGGAGCGGCGGACGGGUGAGUAACACGUGGGAAUUUUCCUCAAGGUACGGAACAACUCAGGGAAACUUGGGCUAAUACCGUAUGAUGCAGAGAUGCCAAAGAUUUAUCGCCUUGGGAUAAGCCCGCGUCAGAUUAGGUAGUUGGUGGGGUAAUGGCCUACCAAGCCUGUGAUCUGUAGCUGGUCUGAGAGGACGAUCAGCCACAUUGGGACUGAGACACGGCCCAAACUCCUACGGGAGGCAGCAGUGGGGAAUCUUGCGCAAUGGACGAAAGUCUGACGCAGCCAUGCCGCGUGAAUGAUGAAGGUCUUAGGAUUGUAAAGUUCUUUAGCCUGUGACGAUGAUGACGGUAACAGGAGAAUAAGCCCCGGCUAACUUCGUG
rnacentral:rRNA from 1 species